CCUACGGGAGGCUGCAGUGGGGAAUAUUGGACAAUGGGGGCAACCCUGAUCCAGCCAUGCCGCGUGUGUGAAGAAGGCCCUCGGGUUGUAAAGCACUUUCAGUGAGGAAGAACGCCUGGUGGUUAAUACCCAUCAGGAAAGACAUCACUCACAGAAGAAGCACCGGCUAACUCCGUGCCAGCAGCCGCGGUAAUACGGAGGGUGCGAGCGUGUAAUCGGAAUUACUGGGCGUAAAGCGCGCGUAGGUGGCUUGAUAAGCCGGUUGUGAAAGCCCCGGGCUCAACCUGGGAACGGCAUCCGGAACUGUCAAGCUAGAGUGCAGGAGAGGAAGGUAGAAUUCCCGGUGUAGCGGUGAAAUGCGUAGAGAUCGGGAGGAAUACCAGUGGCGAAGGCGGCCUUCUGGACUGACACUGACACUGAGGUGCGAAAGCGUGGGUAGCAAACAGGAUUAGAUACCCUAGUAGUC
rnacentral:rRNA from 1 species